ensembl:snoRNA
AUCCUUUUCCGGUUCAUAAGUAUGAUGAUUAGGUCAUCACGCAUUUGUGUGAUAUUUGCCUCCCUUAAUCCUUUUUAUGACUUCGUCACAUUACCUGUCUGGCA